CUCUGUUAUCCUAGCUUUGAAGUCCAUGCUUUGACAUUAACCUUUUGGUUUUAAGUCACUGAAAUAUGGUUUUGGCUGUAAUUUUGUGGUAAUUGUCGAGGUCCCAGGUCUCUUGCAAACUUCAGGAGGUUUUCUUCCAGGGUUAUUUGUACUUAUCUCCAACCAUUUUGCUCUCAAUCCUCACAGUCUUUCCUGUUGAAAGAAUGACACAGGAACCUAUCAAAUCACAAACCCAUCUAACAAGUAUGAGCCUGGUGGGGGCUGAGCAUGCAACCCUGAGGGGUUGGUUUUAGUCCCCAAAAUGAGCUGUCAGAUAAGUUACUGCCUGCACUAAUCCACUGUUUGUCAAACCCCAACUAUGUAAAGCAAUGGAUAACAGUGAAAAACAUCUACUUGGAAAGGAUUUCACCACUAGUCAUGUUAUUUAAACAUUCCCUUGGGCACCAUUCAACACCUGAAUUAGAAGCUUUUCCAAUGAACUGAGCUGGAAGUUACGUAAUAUGGCUCAGUCAAUUUGUGUGUACCUGUGUCCCUCCUCUUUCAGGAUGCAUCAGGAAAGAUCAGGUCUAACAUCGGGUUAGGUCAGGUCUAACAUCAGGAAAGGUCAGGUCUAACAUCAGGUUAGGUCAGGUCUAAUACCAGGAGGGGGCAGGUCAAACAUCAGGAGAGGGCAGGUCUAACACCAGGAGAGGGCAGGUCUAACACCAGGAGAGGGCAUGUCUAACACCAGGAGAGGGCAGGUCUAACACCAGGAGAGGGCAGGUCUAACACCAGGAGAGGGCAGGUGUCUAACAUCAGGGGAGGGCUGG
ensembl:lncRNA